UGGGGAAUUUUGCACAAUGGGCGAAAGCCUGAUGCAGCAACGCCGCGUGUGUGAUGAAGGUCUUCGGAUCGUAAAGCACUUUCGACCGGGACGAACAACCUCUGGCUAACAGUCAGGGGCCUGACGGUACCGGGAGAAGAAGCACCGGCUAACUCUGUGCCAGCAGCCGCGGUAAUACAGAGGGUGCAAGCGUUGUUCGGAAUUAUUGGGCGUAAAGCGCGUGUAGGCGGCAUAGCAAGUCGGGUGUGAAAGCCCUCAGCUCAACUGAGGAAGUGCGCCCGAAACUGCUGUGCUUGAGUGCCGGAGAGGAUGGCGGAAUUCCCCAAGUAGAGGUGAAAUUCGUAGAUAUGGGGAGGAACACCGGUGGCGAAGGCGGCCAUCUGGACGGUAACUGACGCUGAGACGCGAAAGCGUGGGGAGCAAACAGGAUUAGAUACCCCCGUAGUCC
rnacentral:rRNA from 1 species